rnacentral:piRNA from 1 species
AAUGGAUCCAAACCAAGAUGAUGUAUC